rnacentral:rRNA from 1 species
UGAGCAAUCUGCCCUUCUCAUCGGAAUAAGCGUUGGAAACGACGUCUAAUGCCGAAUACGACCUCCUUUCGCAUGAUCGGAGGUGGAAAGCUCCGGCGGAGAAGGAUGAGCUCGCGGCCUAUCAGCUAGUUGGUGUGGGUAAUGGCCCACCAAGGCGACGACGGGUAGCCGGCCUGAGAGGGUGACCGGCCACACUGGGACUGAGACACGGCCCAGACUCCUGCGGAGG